GAUGAACGCUGGCGGCGUGCUUAACACAUGCAAGUCGAACGAAGCACUUUGAUCGAUUUCUUCGGAUUGAAAUUUUAGUGACUGAGUGGCGGACGGGUGAGUAACGCGUGGGUAACCUGCCUCACACAGGGGGAUAACAGUUGGAAACGGCUGCUAAUACCGCAUAAGCGCACAGUACCGCAUGGUACGGUGUGAAAAACUCCGGUGGUGUGAGAUGGACCCGCGUCUGAUUAGCUAGUUGGCAGGGCAACGGCCUACCAAGGCGACGAUCAGUAGCCGACCUGAGAGGGUGACCGGCCACAUUGGGACUGAGACACGGCCCAAACUCCUACGGGAGGCAGCAGUGGGGAAUAUUGCACAAUGGGGGAAACCCUGAUGCAGCGACGCCGCGUGAGCGAAGAAGUAUUUCGGUAUGUAAAGCUCUAUCAGCAGGGAAGAAGAAAUGACGGUACCUGACUAAGAAGCACCGGCUAAAUACGUGCCAGCAGCCGCGGUAA
rnacentral:rRNA from 1 species